rnacentral:lncRNA from 1 species
GGGGGAGGUUCUACUAAUAUUAUGUUUUACUUUGAGUUAAAGAAAAAAAAUAGAUCCGAGUGUUAGGGGAUUUUUUGUGUAUGAUCUUUGUGAGUACCACAGAACAAUGGAUAAGGCUUUGAUUUUGUAUGAGUUUGAGAAAAAUAGACUUGAAGAGACGUUUUAUUAGAUUAACAAGCCGGAUCUACAAUAGAUUGGUGUCUAAACCCUAGUUCUAGCCGCCUAUCUCUAGUCUCUAAGUCUUGAAGUGUCGAUCCCUUGCUCUAGGGUUUAGGCUCCCCUUAUAUAGUUGUUUUAGGUCGGCCU